rnacentral:rRNA from 1 species
AGUUUGAUCCUGGCUCAAGGCGACCGUGGGGGGCGCGCCUAACACAUGCAAAUUGAACGAGCGAGAGAGAGCUUGUUUUCUCAAGCGAGUGGCGAACGGGUGAGUAACGCGUGAGGAACCUGCCUCACAGGAGGGGGACAACAGUCGGAAACGGACUGCUAAUUCCGCAUAAGCCCACGACCCGGCAUCGGGUAGAGGGAAAAGGAGCAAUCCGGUUAGGGAUGGCCUCGCGUCCGAUUAGCUAGUUGGUGAGGUAAUGGCCCACCAAGGCGACCAUCGGUAACCGGACUGAGAGGUCGAACGGCCCCAUUGGGACUGAGACCCGGCCCCGAAUUCUUCGGGAGGCCGCCGUGGGGAAUUCUUCACCAAGGGGGAGACCCUGAUGCAAGGGCCCCGGGUGGAGGAAGAAAGUCUUUGGAGUGUUAACUCGCGUUCAUCAGGAAGGUGUCAAGGCUGCUCAUCCAGAAGAAGCCCCGUAUAUAUGCGCCACCACAGCCGCUAUAAUGUGUAUCGCCAGAGUGUUCUCCGGAUUCAUUGGGCGAAAGAGGCGCGCGUAGGCGGCCCGCCAGUCCAAGGGUAAUACCAGGGGGUCUCAACCCCCACGAAGCCCCCGGAACCUCCGCGGCUUGGGUCCGGUAGGGGAGGGUGGAACACCCGGUGUAGCGGUGGAAUGCGCAGAUAUCGGGUGGAACACCGGUGGCGAAGGCGGCCCUCUGGGCCGAGACCGACGCUGAGGCGCGAAAGCUGGGGGAGCGAACAGGAUUAGAUACCCUGGUAGUCCCAGCCGUAAACGAUGGACGCUAGGUGUGGGGGGACGAUCCCCCCGUGCCGCAGCCAACGCAUUAAGCGUUCCGCCUGGGGAGUACGGCCGCAAGGCUAAAACUCAAAGGAAUUGACGGGGGCCCGCACAAGCAGCGGAGCAUGUGGUUUAAUUCGAAGCAACGCGAAGAACCUUACCAGGGCUUGACAUAUGGGUGAAGCGGGGGAGACCCCGUGGCCGAGAGGAGCCCAUACAGGUGGUUGCAUGGCUGUCGUCAGCUGGUGUCGUGAGAUGUUGGGUUAAGUCCCGCAACGAGCGCAACCCCUGCCGCGUGUUGCCAUCGGGUGAUGCCGGGAACCCACGCGGGUCCGCCGCCGUCAAGGCGGAGGAGGGCGGGGAUGACGUCAAGUCAUCAUGCCCCUUAUGCCCUGGGCUGCACACGUGCUACAAUGGCCGGUACAGAGGGAUGCCACCCCGCGAGGGGGAGCGGAUCCCGGAAAGCCGGCCCCAGUUUGGAUUGGGGGCUGCAACCCGCCCCCAUGAAGUUGGAGUUGCUAGUAAUCGCGGAUCAGCAUGCCGCGGUGAAUGAGUACCCGGCCCUUGUACUCACAGCCCGUCA